rnacentral:tRNA from 1 species
GCGAUAUCAAAGUGCUUCUAAAUAUCCUGACUACGGAUCAGAAAGUUAGGGGUUCGAAUCCCUUCGUGCGCA